rfam:Felis catus isolate Cinnamon breed Abyssinian chromosome B1, whole genome shotgun sequence.
GCCUGGGUGGCUCAGUGGGUUGAGCGUCUGACUUGAACUCAGGUCACGAUCUCGCGGUUCAUGGGUUCGAGCCCCGCGUCGGGCU